CCUGAAUUUCUAGAGGGUGGCCAUGAAUUCCCAUACGGCGAUCUAUCAUGCAAGAACCAUCAGUCACCAACAAUGUUGGGAACAUGUCAAAACCAUCAGCAAGACAUAGCCUCAGAAUCAUCUUAAUUCCAGUCUGCACAUCAAUCCUCUCCAGAAUUGAGAGAUCACCAGAACAUUUUCCAUAUGCACGUAAUAAGAUAAUCCACCAUAAUCCAGAAUCAACAGGUGCAACACGACCUAU
rnacentral:misc_RNA from 1 species